rnacentral:rRNA from 1 species
AGUGAACGCUGGCGGUAGGCCUAACACAUGCCAGUCGAACGGCAGCACAGUAAGAGCUUGCUCUUACGGGUGGCGAGUGGCGGACGGGUGAGGAAUAUAUCGGAAUCUACUUUUUCGUGGGGGAUAACGUAGGGAAACUUACGCUAAUACCGCAUACGACCUACGGGUGAAAGCAGGGGAUCUUCGGACCUUGCGCGAUUGAAUGAGCCGAUGUCGGAUUAGAGAGUUGGCGGGGUAAAGGCCCACCAAGGCGACGAUGCGUAGCUGGUCUGAGAGGAUGAUCAGCCACACUGGAACUGAGACACGGUCCAGACUCCUACGGGAGGCAGCAGUGGGGAAUAUUGGACAAUGGGCGCAAGCCUGAUCCAGCCAUACCGCGUGGGUGAAGAAGGCCUUCGGGUUGUAAAGCCCUUUUGUUGGGAAAGAAAAGCAGCAGGUUAAUACCCCGCUGUUCUGACGGUACCCAAAGAAUAAGCACCGGCUAACUUCGUG